UACGUAGGGGGCAAGCGUUGUCCGGAAUCAUUGGGCGUAAAGAGCGUGUAGGCGGCUCGAUAAGUCUGCUGUGAAAGUCCAGGGCUCAACCCUGGAAGGCCGGUGGAAACUGUCGGGCUAGAGUCCGGAAGAGGCGAGUGGAAUUCCCGGUGUAGCGGUGAAAUGCGCAGAUAUCGGGAGGAACACCUAUGGCGAAGGCAGCUCGCUGGGACGUUACUGACACUGAGGCGCGAAAGCGUGGGGAGCGAACAGG
rnacentral:rRNA from 1 species